rnacentral:rRNA from 1 species
CACGUAGGGUGCGAGCGUUGUCCGGAAUUAUUGGGCGUAAAGAGCUCGUAGGUGGUUUGUCGCGUUGUUCGUGAAAACUCACAGCUUAACUGUGGGCGUGCGGGCGAUACGGGCAGACUGGAGUACUGCAGGGGAGACUGGAAUUCCUGGUGUAGCGGUGGAAUGCGCAGAUAUCAGGAGGAACACCGGUGGCGAAGGCGGGUCUCUGGGCAGUAACUGACGCUGAGGAGCGAAAGCGUGGGGAGCAAACAGG